rnacentral:rRNA from 1 species
AAAGCGUUUCGCUUUGCGUGGUGCGCAAAAUGCGUAACGACAGCACGAUUGCGGUUAACGGAGCGUAAGCGACGUUCAACACAAAAAUCAGGCAGUGGAGCGUUUUGGGGUGGGGUGACUGCGUACCUUUUGUAUAAUGGGUCAGCGACUUAUAUUCUGUAGCAAGGUUAACCGCAUAGGGGAGCCGGAGGGAAACCGAGUCUUAAUUGGGCGUUAAGUUGCAGGGUAUAGACCCGAAACCCGGUGAUCUAGCCAUGGGCAGGUUGAAGGUUGGGUAACACUAACUGGAGGACCGAACCGACUAAUGUUGAAAAAUUAGCGGAUGACCUGUGGCUGGGGGUGAAAGGCCAAUCAAACCGGGAGAUAGCUGGUUCUCCCCGAAAGCUAUUUAGGUAGCGCCUCGUGAAUUCAUCUCCGGGGGUAGAGCACUGUUUCGGCCAGGGGGCCAUCCCGGCUUACCAAUCCGAUGCAAACUGCGAAUACCGGAGAAUGUUAUCACGGGAGACACACGGCGGGUGCUAACGUCCGUCGUGAAGAGGGAAACAACCCAGACCGCCAGCUAAGGUCCCAAAGUCAUGGUUAAGUGGGAAACGAUGUGGGAAGGCCCAGACAGCCAGGAUGUUGGCUUAGAAGCAGCCAUCAUUUAAAGAAAGCGUAAUAGCUCACUGGUCGAGUCGGCCUGCGCGGAAGAUGUAACGGGGCUAAACCAU